AUUUUCGUGUCACUUACAACGUUACCAACAGAAUACGAAAACGUUGUUACGUUUAUUGUGUUAAGAACAAUAAAUUCCAUGGCGGGUCACUUUAAAAUGAUAAAAAUCUGUGAAAUAACUGAAAAUCUAAGAAUAUUUGUCGGGACAGUAGCGAGAUACAGGCAAACAGGUACACGUGCAUUUACACAUGAAUGCCGUUUGGCUCUUGCUAAUACUUCUUUAACAAGUACUUUAUCAAGUGACUGUCGUUUACGAGUAGAGGACGCUAAAAUCAAUAUCGAAUUUCUACGUCGGUAUGGUAGUCACGUUGAGCCACAGAGGUCCAUAAGGUAAUUUGUCUAUACGUAUAGCUCGUCUGUGCUAUGUGUCGCACAACCGGUACUAAAUACCUGCAAUACCGAUGAUUUUAUCAUUAACGAAAUAAAAUGCUCUGCCUUAGUUUUCGAAUUAUACGUAGAAGUACGUUUGGUAUCAUGUACAGCCGGUGGAUAAAGACAAAUGGUGGAUAAUGAAAAUAUAUAUCAAUGAAGUUUACAAAAAUUCUGAAUAUUAAUUUCAAUUGUUUACUAAAUAACUUAUAUAGUAUAAGAGCA
rnacentral:misc_RNA from 1 species